rnacentral:rRNA from 1 species
UACGUAGGGUGCGAGCGUUGUCCGGAAUUAUUGGGCGUAAAGGGCGCGUAGGCGGCGCGGUUAGUCGGCGGUGAAAGCCCGAGGCUCAACUUCGGGUCGGCCGUCGAUACUGCUGCGCUGGAGCACUGUAGAGGCAGAUGGAAUUCCGGGUGUAGCGGUGGAAUGCGUAGAGAUCCGGAAGAACACCGGUGGCGAAGGCGGUCUGCUGGGCAGUUGCUGACGCUGAUGCGCGACAGCGUGGGGAGCAAACAGG